UCCUACGGGAGGCAGCAGUGGGGAAUUUUCCGCAAUGGGCGAAAGCCUGACGGAGCAAUACCGCGUGAGGGAGGAAGGCUCUUGGGUUGUAAACCUCUUUUCUCAGGGAAGAAUAAUGACGGUACCUGAGGAAUAAGCAUCGGCUAACUCCGUGCCAGCAGCCGCGGUAAUACGGAGGAUGCAAGCGUUAUCCGGAAUUAUUGGGCGUAAAGCGUCUGUAGGUGGAUAUUCAAGUCUGCUGUCAAAGACCGGGGCUUAACCCUGGAAAGGCAGUGGAAACUGAAGAUCUAGAGUGCGGUAGGGGCAGAGGGAAUUCCCAGUGUAGCGGUGAAAUGCGUAGAGAUUGGGAAGAACACCGGUGGCGAAAGCGCUCUGCUGGGCCUGCACUGACACUGAGGGACGAAAGCUAGGGGAGCGAAUGGGAUUAGAUACCCCAGUAGUCCUAGCCGUAAACGAUGGAUACUAGGCGUAGCUUGUAUCGACCCAAGCUGUGCCGUAGCUAACGCGUUAAGUUCCCGCCUGGGAGACCUCCCGGGG
rnacentral:rRNA from 2 species